rnacentral:rRNA from 1 species
AUUGAACGCUGGCGGCAGGCCUAGCACAUGCAAGUCGAGCGGAUGAAGGGAGCUUGCUCCUGGAUUCAGCGGCGGACGGGUGAGUAAUGCCUAGGAAUCUGCCUGGUAGUGGGGGAUAACGUCCGGAAACGGGCGCUAAUACCGCAUACGUCCUGAGGGAGAAAGUGGGGGAUCUUCGGACCUCACGCUAUCAGAUGAGCCUAGGUCGGAUUAGCUAGUUGGUGGGGUAAAGGCCUACCAAGGCGACGAUCAGUAACUGGUCUGAGAGGAUGAUCAGUCACACUGGAACUGAGACACGGUCCAGACUCCUACGGGAGGCAGCAGUGGGGAAUAUUGGACAAUGGGCGAAAGCCUGAUCCAGCCAUGCCGCGUGUGUGAAGAAGGUCUUCGGAUUGUAAAGCACUUUAAGUUGGGAGGAAGGGCAGUAAGUUAAUACCUUGCUGUUUUGACGUUACCAACAGAAUAAGCACCGGCUAACUUCGUG